UACGAAGGGGGCUAGCGUUGCUCGGAAUCACUGGGCGUAAAGGGUGCGUAGGCGGGUAUUUAAGUCAGGGGUGAAAUCCUGGAGCUCAACUCCAGAACUGCCUUUGAUACUGAGUAUCUUGAGUACGGGAGAGAUGAGUGGAACUGCGAGUGUAGAGGUGAAAUUCGUAGAUAUUCGCAAGAACACCAGUGGCGAAGGCGGCUCACUGGCCCGUUACUGACGCUGAGGCACGAAAGCGUGGGGAGCAAACAGG
rnacentral:rRNA from 1 species